rnacentral:rRNA from 1 species
UACGAAGGGGGCGAGCGUUGUUCGGAUUUACUGGGCGUAAAGGGCGCGCAGGCGGCAGAUCAAGUCAGAUGUGAAAGCCCCGGGCUUAACCUGGGAACUGCAUUUGGGACUGGUUUGCUAGAGAUCGGGAGAGGAGAGUGGAAUUCCCAGUGUAGAGGUGAAAUUCGUAGAUAUUGGGAAGAACACCAAUGGCGAAGGCAGCUCUCUGGACCGUUACUGACGCUGAGGCGCGAAAGCGUGGGGAGCAAACAGG